rnacentral:rRNA from 1 species
GACGAACGCUGGCGGCGUGCUCAACACAUGCAGGUCGAACGGAAAGGCCCUGCUUUUGUGGGGUGCUCGAGUGGCGAACGGGUGAGUAACACGUGAGUAACCUGCCCUUGACUUUGGGAUAACUUCAGGAAACUGGGGCUAAUACCGGAUAGGAGCUCCUGCUGCAUGGUGGGGGUUGGAAAGUUUCGGCGGUUGGGGAUGGACUCGCGGCUUAUCAGCUUGUUGGUGGGGUAGUGGCUUACCAAGGCUUUGACGGGUAGCCGGCCUGAGAGGGUGACCGGCCACAUUGGGACUGAGAUACGGCCCAGACUCCUACGGGAGGCAGCAGUGGGGAAUAUUGCACAAUGGGCGGAAGCCUGAUGCAGCAACGCCGCGUGCGGGAUGACGGCCUUCGGGUUGUAAACCGCUUUCGCCUGUGACGAAGCGUGAGUGACGGUAAUGGGUAAAGAAGCACCGGCUAACUACGUG